rnacentral:RNase_P_RNA from 1 species
AACCCCGUUCGGGCGAUCGUCGGCCAAUGGUCGGAGGAAAGUCCGGGCUCCACAGGGCAGGGUGAUGGGUAACGCCCACCGUUUCCUUCGGGAAAUAGGGAAAGUGCCACAGAAACGAUACCGCCGGCUGGCCGGGCUUUGCCCCGGCAACGGUAAGGGUGAAAAGCGUGAGGUAAGAGCUCACGGCAAGGCCAGGAAACUGGCGUUGAUUCAGG